UACGUAGGGGGCUAGCGUUGUCCGGAUUUAUUGGGCGUAAAGAGCGUGUAGGCGGCCAGGUAGGUCCGGUGUGAAAACUCGAGGCUUAACCUCGAGAUGUCAUCGGAAACCAUCUGGCUAGAGUCCGGAAGAGGAAAGUGGAAUUCCUGGUGUAGCGGUGAAAUGCGCAGAUAUCAGGAAGAACACCAAUGGCGAAAGCAGCUUUCUGGGACGGUACUGACGCUGAGACGCGAAAGCGUGGGGAGCAAACGGG
rnacentral:rRNA from 1 species